CCUACGGGAGGUAGCAGUGAGGAAUAUUGGUCAAUGGACGGAAGUCUGAACCAGCCAUGCCGCGUGCAGGAAGACGGCUCUAUGAGUUGUAAACUGCUUUUGUACAAGGGUAAACCUGAAUACGUGUAUUCAUCUGCAUGUACUGUACGAAUAAGGAUCGGCUAACUCCGUGCCAGCAGCCGCGGUAAUACGGAGGAUCCAAGCGUUAUCCGGAUUUAUUGGGUUUAAAGGGUGCGUAGGUGGAUUGAUAAGUUAGAUGUGAAAUGUCCGAGCUUAACUCGGGAACUGCCUUUAAUACUGUUGGUCUAGAGAGUAGAUGCGGUAGGCGGAAUGUAUGGUGUAGCGGUGAAAUGCUUAGAGAUCAUACAGAACACCGAUUGCGAAGGCAGCUUACCAAUCUAUAUCUGACGUUGAGGCACGAAAGCGUGGGGAGCAAACAGGAUUAGAUACCCCAGUAGUC
rnacentral:rRNA from 1 species